rnacentral:rRNA from 1 species
UACGUAGGGGGCAAGCGUUGUCCGGAUUUAUUGGGCGUAAAGAGCGUGUAGGCGGCUAUACAGGUCCGCUGUGAAAACUCGAGGCUCAACCUCGAGACGUCGGUUGAAACCGUAUGGCUAGAGUCCGGAAGAGGAGAGUGGAAUUCCUGGUGUAGCGGUGAAAUGCGCAGAUAUCAGGAAGAACACCCGUGGCGAAGGCGGCUCUCUGGGACGGUACUGACGCUGAGACGCGAAAGCGUGGGGAGCGAACAGU